UACAGAGGCCUCGAGCGUUAGGCGGAAUCGCUGGGCUUAAAGCGUGUGUAGGCGGACUUCUAAGUAUCUUGUGAAAUCCCACGGCUCACCCGUGGAACUGCUCGGUAUACUGGUUGUCUUGAGCCUUCUAGGGGCGAGUGGAACAAAUGGUGGAGCGGUGAAAUGCGUAGAUAUCAUUUGGAACGCCAAUGGUGAAAACAACUCGCUGGGGAAGUGCUGACGCUGAGACACGAAAGCCAGGGGAGCGAACGGG
rnacentral:rRNA from 1 species